UUCCUAAGGACAAAUCACAUAAGCUGCCUAUGCUCCUGCCACCGAUCUCAGACCCAGGCUCCUGUAGGUUGCCGUCUUUGAAUUGAAUGUUCACCAGCUACACUUGAGUGGGAUCAUGUCUUUUCGCCUGUCAGUGGGUCACUGUCUGCAGUGAGGCGGGUGCUUACUUCCCCAGGGAAAGUUCACGCAAUAAAAGAACUGACUCAUUUCUGUAUCAACUCUCCAAUCAAAAGUCCUCGAAGCUGGAAAAGGUUUGAAACCAUAAGAUGUUCUGACAAUCUCACAAAAAGCCUGGCAAAUUGCAAGCAGGGGAGGAGACAUCUUGUUAGAGAGUAUGUUGACAAGAAGCAUCUGCGUUCUAUAGGAACUUAAGACUCAACUCUGAGAAUAAUGAAAGCUUACCACUGUUUGGCUUAGCCAGUAAUUCAUGAGGGCUCUGAUCCACAUUACCCUUUGUGUCAUUAAGGUCAGGAGGCUCACGGCUUGAGUGAAAAUCAUCAAGCUCUCACUCCAUUGGUGGGAGAGGGAAAAUAAUAUCUAAGACAGGCAAUGAAUAAGAACAAGAUCCCUGGGACAAGAGAGAUGGCAAAGGCCAGGCAUUGGGAAGUGAACACCGAAGAAGCUCGGAGGGAGAAGUGUGGGCCCUCUGACAGGUGGAAGAGCUGAGCAGCUAUGGAGGGUCUAUUUCACCACCUUGGUCAGUUCCUCUUCACACAUCCUGUCCACAAGUGAGACAAAUCAAGGGACAUGGAGAGGGACAUAUCCAUAGCAACAGGUCGGAGUGCUCACGGUCGCCAUUCUUCUGAUGUGGAUACAAGCACUUCAGCAAAAAUAGCUGCCUGAAGACGUUGAACGAUUCCAUUCACUUUAAUACACUGUGACUAAUUGGGGGAAAACGGCAAGCAGCACGUGAGGAUUCUGCGUGUGCAUUGGAGCCACUCGUUGGCACGGUGGCAGCAUACAUUAAAUGGAAUUUUAAAA